AAUAAAGCUAUGUAUCUCAACCUUUUUGAAAUUGGUUGUUUUUACAUUUAUUUUCAUGUAUUAAAAGCAGUUUUAUUAGAAGUUACUCUUGUCUUCUUGAAAUGAUUAAAACAGAUGUGUUCGUACGUAAUUAUUUGAGAUGUGCCUUAUACCAGUGGUCUCAAACUCAAAUUGCAUGCAGGCCAAAUGUGCAAUUCCAAAGGAAAUGAAAGGCCAAAUAUUUUUAAACAAAAUUACAAUGAAAGGAAAAUAUUUUACUGAUACAGUGGUUAUUGAUAACACAUGCAGGUUGAGUACAGUAUGCUUUAAAACUUUAUGUUAUUUUAUUAGCAUUAAAUUGUAAUAAGAG
rnacentral:lncRNA from 1 species